rnacentral:rRNA from 1 species
GGGAGGCAGCAGUGAGGAAUAUUGGACAAUGGAGGCAACUCUGAUCCAGCCAUGCCGCGUGCAGGAAGACUGCCCUAUGGGUUGUAAACUGCUUUUAUACAGGAAGAAACACUGCUACGUGUAGCAGCUUGACGGUACUGUAAGAAUAAGGAUCGGCUAACUCCGUGCCAGCAGCCGCGGU